rnacentral:sRNA from 1 species
CUGUGUGCCCUUUGUCACGUAGGCUAUACGUAGGGCCCCUAGUGUCAUAGGACAACAAAAAUGUCUCUUAGUCAGGUCUCUAGGCUGUUUGUUAGACAAUUUAAGACAUCCACUGUUAGCAGGAGUCAGGGAUGGCAGCAAGAGGGUAUACCAGGAUCAAAUCUUCCAUUUGAUAUUCGCAACAAGACUAAACUGACCAUCUAUUUCGUUCUAUUCUUUGGGAGUGCUUUAACUGCUCCAUUUAUUU